GUGUGUGUUCUAUAUUUAAAUUAUUUGUCUCUCAUUGGCCAAGCGAAUGGAACGUUUGACGUCACCGAACAUAUAUAAAGGCUUGCCCUGACGUGUUCACUUCACACACUGGUGAUUCUCUAAGCGAAAGCUAUUGAAAACCACUACUACUCUCCUGACUUUAAAGACAUCAAAAACCAAACGAUUACCUUAAGUCUUUCAAACGACUAGUCAAGCAACAGCUGACAGUUAUUUAAUAGACUUUUAAAGACAUUUUCAACAUCAUGUCUGAUUUGAAGGAUCUCGAGACCAGCAGGGGUGGUAUUCUGCGAAAGCAGAAUUCUGCCCCUUCAGGUUCUCGGGUAACCUUCGCCCGUCCGCGGGCUGAACCGGAUGUGGAAUUGAGCCAUUCAGUUGGUAGAUGGACUGAGAGCAUGUCUAGACCAGCACAGGGGCCAAAAGGCUGGGAUGUACGAGAUACAUACCAGGAGUUGGCCUACGCUCCAGCCUCCUAUUAUCCAAAGAUGUUUGUCCUACUGGGAAAAACAUAUGAGGAUGAGGGGGUCCCUGCAGGUGUUAGACAGAAAAAGCUUACAUCAACUGAGAGGCUCAGGAUGUCCAUGACUAGAAUGGAAGCCUCACGAAGGGCCCGUUUAUACUCGGAUGAGGAGGCACGUUGGGCCCUUCUACAGAUUUUGAAAGAUUGGUGUGGCCCUGAAGCUGAUAGACAAGAUAAGAUCACGGGUUCAUCAGCUGAAGGGCUCGUAAGUCUCGUUGAAAGCAGUGGGGAGCGAGAUGCUCAACAGAAGUUGUGCGUCUCUGCCCCCGCAGCUUUCGAAAUGUGGGCUGUCCCUCCGGGGAUAGUUAAUGAUGAUGAGUUGGUCCCUGCAGCUGGUAGACAGACUGCCAUGUCUACACCAGCUCAGGGGAAAGAAGUAACAAGCUGCGGUGAACGAGAUUCACAACGGAGGCUGUGCGUCUCUGCACCCGCAGCUUGCGAAACAAGGUUUGUCCUUCCCGGGGCAAUUGACGAUGAAGAGUGGGUCCCUGCAGUUGUGUCUACAUCUGCAGCGGCUUUAGAUGAAGAGGAGAGAAGCUUACCAGAACCAAAACCAAAAAGCCGGAAGAAAAUCCGUGCUUUCUUGCGCAGAGCAUUGCAGGCUAUCAAAAAAGCUUGCUGUUGCUGUGGAAAUGAGGAUAUAGUGGAGCCAUUUUGAUCCUCAGGUGCCCGUAUAGAUGAAGCUGAUGUGUAGAACGGUUCUGGUCUUAAGCAAACGGGUUUUUAAGAACCACCCUAUUGCCGGUCAGGUUCGUCAUUCCUUGGAUAUAUCAGCUUUCCAAGAAGCAGCUGAUCAUAUGGUCCAUUCGACCAUCGCCCAUGUGCUCCGGCAGAUCAGCUGAUUUUAAGUCGGGUUCUUCUUACCUGCACCGAGCUCGUGAUAAAACACUGGCAGUAUAGUCCCUUCGGACUCGAGCCGGCGAGCUCUUUUCCUUGGAAACAUGCCCGUUCCAAGAAGAGGAUGAUCUUAAAUGUGGUUUGUCUGCCACGGGCGUCAUGCUCAACCGAUCAUGCUUAUUAGUCAGUCAGGUUUGUGUAACCUGCACGAGCUCGUAAGAAACACAGGCAGUAUAGUCCCUUCGGACUCGAGCCGGCGAGCUCUUUUCCUUGGAAACAUGCCCGUUCCAAGAAGAGGAUGAUCUUAAAUGUGGUUUGUCUGCCACGGGCGUCAUGCUCAACCGAUCAUGCUUAUUAGUCAGUCAGGUUUGUGUAACCUGCACGAGCUCGUAAGAAACACAGGCAGUAUAGUCCCUUCGGACUCGAGCCGGCGAGCUCUUUUCCUUGGAAACAUGCCUUUCCAAGAAGAGGAUGAUCUUAAAUGUGGUCUACGGACCACGGGCGUCAUGCUCAACCGAUCAUGCUGAUUAGUCAGUCAGGUUUGUGUAACCUGCACCCAUCUCGUGAGAAACACAGGCAGUAUAGUCCCUUCGGACUCGAGCCGGCGAGAUUGUGGAACCAGACUAUUGCCAGUCUGGUUCAUCAUCUUUGGACAUAACAGCUUUCCAAGAAGCAGCUGAAUGGUCAAGUUCAUCUAGCCUGCGGUCAAGCGAUGGUGAUCUGGGAAGACAGAUUGGAAGAGGUGCCUUUAGUAAAGUGGAUGAGGGGACGCGCAAAUCUGAUGGCAUGAAGUCUGGCAAGGAAAUCUACACUAAAAUACCCUCGAACCCAAGGACAUUGAGACAAACAGACCCAGUUCCGG